CAUGUGCUUUCAAAGGGUCCAUUUGCAAAUGCAUCGAGUUUCAGGGCAAGGAGCUAGCUGUAGGAAAAGACUCAUAAAAUUAGCAGAAAAAGACUUCUGACGGUCAAAAUGGUUGAUCGUCAGUCUUGCAACGGACCACCAGUUCAACUUUUAGUGUUAAACAGAACAGAACAAGGCAUCCUAAAACACUCAUUGACGGCCCAUGUGGUGGACCGUCAGACUUGCGACAGACCACCACUUUGGGCGUCAGGGCUAUCCAGAAUUUGACUCUCAAGGACCAUCAGCGAUGGCCCAAGUGGUGGACCACCAGUCUUGCGACGGACCACCACUUUGGAUGUCAGAGCAAAGCAGAACUAGCCUCUUCAGGAUCAUCAGCGACGACCCAUAUGGUGGACCGUUAGUCUUGCGACGGACCAUCACUUUGGCCGUCAGUUUCAA